rnacentral:tRNA from 1 species
UGGGGAGUCGCCAAGUUGGUAAGGCACGGGACUUUGAAUCCCGCAUGCGCAGGUUCGAGUCCUGCCUCCCCAGCCA